rnacentral:rRNA from 1 species
GACGAACGCUGGCGGCGUGCUUAACACAUGCAAGUCGAACGGAAAGGCCCUGCUUUUGUGGGGUGCUCGAGUGGCGAACGGGUGAGUAACACGUGAGUAACCUGCCCUUUACUUUGGGAUAACUUCAGGAAACUGGGGCUAAUACCGGAUAGGAGCUCCUGCGGCAUGGUGGGGGUUGGAAAGUUUCGGCGGUUGGGGAUGGACUCGCGGCUUAUCAGCUUGUUGGUGGGGUAGUGGCUUACCAAGGCUUUGACGGGUAGCCGGCCUGAGAGGGUGACCGGCCACAUUGGGACUGAGAUACGGCCCAGACUCCUACGGGAGGCAGCAGUGGGGAAUAUUGCACAAUGGGCGGAAGCCUGAUGCAGCAACGCCGCGUGCGGGAUGACGGCCUUCGGGUUGUAAACCGCUUUCGCCUGUGACGAAGCGUGAGUGACGGUAAUGGGUAAAGAAGCACCGGCUAACUACGUG